CUGAGGAAGAUGGAUCCUUUUUUAGAAUCUUUAAGUCAAUUUGUUUUCCGUUUCACCGUGCAAAGAACACAGUAACCGUGAUAACCCCUCUCGCUCACCCUUUGCGAAUUUUGCCUAUGCCACCUUCAUGUCACGGCUUUAAUAGAAGAGUCUAUGGGAGAAAUGCAAAUUGAGCUGGAGCUGGAAGCGUUCCGUCCUAGGAGCCCUCGUGUUAUGAUUAAGAAGUAAUGAGGAAAGUAAUGAAAGCGAUGCGGCAGAUCGCCUGAUUAACGUCCCCUUUCUACCCCGUCGCUGCGGUUACCCUUGCUCUUAGUUCGCUAGUGACAAACAAAGAUGUUGCAUUCCCAAUCUAGUUUGAGCGUGGCAUGGGGAGACCUCACUCAGCUCGGAAUUCUAAAGGGAUCGGCUACCGUCCCAACAGCUCCCAGCUCAGUUCCCAGGACUGACCGAGGAAAAACCACAUCAGCCAAAGAAAAUGGAACAAGCGGAAUUGUGGCUGCGCUCCAUCCACGGGAACAGAAAAGCCUCCCCCACCUUCUAGCCCCAAAUCUAGUUCCUUUCUCUCGCUCGUGCCAGUCGCAGGAUCUCUUUCGAGCCCUUUCUGUUCCUUGUGGUUAACAAAGAGACAAGAUGUCCC